rnacentral:lncRNA from 1 species
CAUUAGUCCUCAGUUUCCUCAUCUGAAAAGUGGGAUGAUAGCCAUGGAAUUAAUCUCUUUUUAGUCCUCACCGGGGUCCCCCAGCGCUGGUCAUUCACACUCUCCAGGGACCGAUCAUCACUGACUGAACAUGGCUGGUGGUAAUGGCAGCAUGAUGGUCCUCAGAGUUUUCCUCCCACUGAGUUGGUUUACUGCCCAGAGCCUGGUGAACGCCCAGUUGACCCCUGCCUCAAGCCGGACCCAGGCUUGCCACAGUUUUCACUGCAGAGGGGAGAUGUGCUAUCAGGGA